GCCCGCCUAGCUCAAUCGGAUAGAGCGUCAGACUUUUACAGAUGGUCUGGUUGACGGGCUGUAGUAAUUAAUCUGAAGGCUGCGAGUUCGACCCUCGCGGUGGGCU
rfam:Moniliophthora roreri strain MCA 2952 kmer90.96210, whole genome shotgun sequence.